GCGGGAAUAGCUCAGUUGGUAGAGCAUCAGCCUUCCAAGCUGAGGGUCGCGGGUUCAAGUCCCGUUUCCCGCUCCA
rnacentral:tRNA from 1 species